CAGUAGCCGCGGGAAAACAGAGGUCCCGAGCGUUGUUCGGAUUCACUGGGCGUAAAGGGUGUGUAGGAGGUUGGAUAAGUCAGGUGUGAAACCCCACAGCUUAACUGUGGAACUGCAUUCGAUACUGUCUGACUAGAGGAUCGGAGGGGGAAGCGGAAUUCUUGGUGUAGCGGUGAAAUGCGUAGAUAUCGGAAGGAACACCUGUGGCGAAAGCGGCUCACUGGACCAUUUCUGACGCUGAUGCACGAAAGCUAGGGGAGCAAACAGGAUUAGAGACCCCUGUAGUCCCUGUCUCUUAUAA
rnacentral:rRNA from 1 species